rnacentral:rRNA from 1 species
UAAUACGGAGGAUGCAAGCGUUAUCCGGAUUCAUUGGGUUUAAAGGGUGCGCAGGCGGAUUGAUAAGUCAGGGGUGAAAUCCCACAGCUCAACUGUGGAACUGCCCUUGAUACUGUUAGUCUAGAGUAUAGUUGAAGUUGGCGGAAUGUGUCAUGUAGCGGUGAAAUGCUUAGAUAUGACACAGAACACCGAUCGCGAAGGCAGCUAGCUAAGCUAUAACUGACGCUCAUGCACGAAAGCGUGGGGAUCAAACAGGAUUAGAUACCCUGGUAGUCCACGCUGUAAACGAUGAUUACUCGAUGUUGGCGAUACACAGUCAGCGUCUAAGGGAAACCAAUAAGUAAUCCACCUGGGGAGUACGAUCGCAAGAUUGAAACUCAAAUGAAUUGACGG